GAUAAGGUUAAGUGAAUAAGGGCGCACGGUGGAUGCCUUGGCACUAGGAGCCGAUGAAGGACGGGACUAACACCGAUAUGCUUUGGGGAGCUGUAAGUAAGCUAUGAUCCAGAGAUUUCCGAAUGGGGGAACCCAAUAUCUUUUAUAGGAUAUUACUUUUCAGUGAAUACAUAGCUGAUUAGAGGUAGACGCAGAGAACUGAAACAUCUUAGUACCUGCAGGAAGAGAAAGAAAAUUCGAUUCCCUGAGUAGCGGCGAGCGAAACGGGAAGAGCCCAAACCAACAAGCUUGCUUGUUGGGGUUGUAGGACUCCGAUAUGGUAGUCUGUUAGUAUAGUUGAAGGAUUUGGAAAAUUCCGCUAAAGAGGGUGAAAGCCCCGUAGACGAAAUGCUAACAACACCUAGGAGGAUCCUGAGUACGGCGGAACACGAGAAAUUCCGUCGGAAUCCGCGGGGACCAUCCCGCAAGGCUAAAUACUCCCUAGUGACCGAUAGUGAACCAGUACCGUGAGGGAAAGGUGAAAAGCACCCCGGAAGGGGAGUGAAAUAGAUCCUGAAACCGUGUGCCUACAACAAGUCAAAGCUCGUUAAUGAGUGAUGGCGUGCCUUUUGUAGAAUGAACCGGCGAGUUACGAUUGCAUGCGAGGUUAAGUCGAAGAGACGGAGCCGCAGCGAAAGCGAGUCUGAAUAGGGCGAAUGAGUAUGUAGUCGUAGACCCGAAACCAUGUGAUCUACCCAUGUCCAGGUUGAAGGUGCGGUAAAACGCACUGGAGGACCGAACCCACGUACGUUGAAAAGUGCGGGGAUGAGGUGUGGGUAGCGGAGAAAUUCCAAACGAACUUGGAGAUAGCUGGUUCUCUCCGAAAUAGCUUUAGG
rnacentral:rRNA from 1 species